rnacentral:rRNA from 1 species
UACGGAGGGAGCUAGCGUUGUUCGGAAUUAUUGGGCGUAAAGCGCACGUAGGCGGCUUUGCAAGUCGGAUGUGAAAUCCCUCGGCUCAACCAAGGAAGUGCAUCCGAAACUGCAGAGCUUGAGUACCAAAGAGGAUCGCGGAAUUCCCGGUGUAGAGGUGAAAUUCGUAGAUAUCGGGAGGAACACCAGUGGCGAAGGCGGCGAUCUGGGUGGAUACUGACGCUGAGGUGCGAAAGCGUGGGGAGCAAACAGG